GAUAUGUUUUUUUGCUUUAACCGAGUAUUGAAGCUGGCAAGAGAAGCCUGAGUUGCAAGAACAGGAGUUUUGGAAGAAGAAGUUGACAUCCUGAAUGAUCCAAGGUUUCUUACAGCAAGGAACACUGCUAGCCAUGUAAUUCGAAAAGCAGCACUAGAAACUACAAGGCCAACAAGUACAGGGUCAAAGCAUGUGUACUUGUCGAUGGCUGAGCUUAAGGCAAUUCUCACGUUGCCAGAGUUUCUACCUAACAGUCCUAAUGGACUGUUUUGGUUAGUUGUACUAUUCUGCAUGAAUUUCUUUCUUGUACGUGGGAGGAA